CUACGGAGGGUGCGAGCGUUAAUCGGAAUUACUGGGCGUAAAGCGUACGUAGGCGGUUUGCUAAGUCAGGUGUGAAAGCCCCGGGCUUAACCUGGGAACUGCAUUUGAUACUGGCAGACUAGAGUAUGAUAGAGGGGGGUAGAAUUCCUGGUGUAGCGGUGAAAUGCGUAGAUAUCAGGAGGAAUACCAGUGGCGAAGGCGGCCCCCUGGAUCAAUACUGACGCUGAGGUACGAAAGCGUGGGGAGCGAACAGGAUUAGAAACCCUAGUAGUCC
rnacentral:rRNA from 1 species